GUGGGGAAUUUUGGACAAUGGGCGCAAGCCUGAUCCAGCAAUGCCGCGUGCAGGAAGAAGGCCUUCGGGUUGUAAACUGCUUUUGUACGGAACGAAAAGGCUCUGGUUAAUACCUGGGGCUCAUGACGGUACCGUAAGAAUAAGCACCGGCUAACUACGUGCCAGCAGCCGCGGUAAUACGUAGGGUGCAAGCGUUAAUCGGAAUUACUGGGCGUAAAGCGUGCGCAGGCGGUUUUGUAAGACAGACGUGAAAUCCCCGGGCUCAACCUGGGAAUGGCGCUUGUGACUGCAAGGCUGGAGUGCGGCAGAGGGGGAUGGAAUUCCGCGUGUAGCAGUGAAAUGCGGAGAUAUGCGGAGGAACACCGAUGGCGAAGGCAAUCCCCUGGGCCUGCACUGACGCUCAUGCACGAAAGCGUGGGGAGCAAACAGGAUUAGAAACCCCGGUAGUCC
rnacentral:rRNA from 1 species